UCCGGCGGUCACAGCGCAAGGGAAACACCCGAUCCCUUCCCGAACUCGGCCGUUAAGCCCUGCCGCGCCGAUGGUACUGCGACUCAAGUCGUGGGAGAGUAGGUCGCCGCCGGAC
rnacentral:rRNA from 1 species